CCUACGGGUGGCUGCAGUGGGGGAUAUUGCACAAUGGGGGGAACCCUGAUGCAGCGACGCCGCGUGGGUGAAGAAGCGCCUCGGCGCGUAAAGCUCUGUCAGCAGGGAAGAAAAUGACGGUAGCUGAAGAAGAAGCCCCGGCGAACGACGUGCCAGCAGCCGCGGUAAUACGGAGGGGGCAAGCGUUAUCCGGAUUUACUGGGUGUAAAGGGGGCGCAGCCGGGGAUGCAAGCCAGUAGUGAAAGCUCGGGGCCCAACCCCGGAACGGCUCUUGGAACUGCGUGGCUUGAGUGCAGGAGGGGCAGGCGGAAUGCCUGGUGUAGCGGUGAAAUGCGUAGAUAUCAGGAGGAACACCGGUGGCGAAGGCGGCCUGCUGGACUGCAACUGACGUUGAGGCCCGAAAGCGUGGGGAGCAAACAGGAUUAGAUACCCCAGUAGUC
rnacentral:rRNA from 1 species